rnacentral:rRNA from 1 species
GCGUAAAGGGUGGUAGGCAGGUAGGCAAGUAUAAAGUAAAAGACUAAGGAAUAACCUUUUUGAUUCUUUAUCCACUACUUACCUUGAGUUUAGAGGCGAUAAGUUGAAUUCUUAUAGGAAGGGUGAAAUCUGUUGAUAGCUGGAAGACGUUCAAAGGCGAAAGCGACAUCGACCUAGAUCUGACGCUGAGGCACGAAAGCAUGGGUAUAAAGAAGAUUAGAGACCUUCGUAGUCCAUGCUUAAACUAUGAGUGUUCAACGUCCUUAUUUGAAGUAAGCACAGUUAAGUGAUUAUAGGAAUUUAAGGGGGUUUAAAGCUAACGCGUGAAACACUCCGCCUGGGUAAUAUAGCCGCAAGGUCUAAACUAAAGGAAUUGACGGAGGCUCGAACGAGG